CGUAGGGUGCGAGCGUUAAUCGGAAUUACUGGGCGUAAAGCGUGCGCAGGCGGUUCGCCAAGUCAGGUGUGAAAUCCCCGGGCUUAACCUGGGAAUUGCGCUUGAAACUAGCGGGCUUGAGUGUGGCAGAGGGGGGUGGAAUUCCACGUGUAGCAGUGAAAUGCGUGGAGAUGUGGAGGAACACCGAUGGCGAAGGCAGCCCCCCUGGGUCAACACUGACGCUCAUGCACGAAAGCGUGGGGAGCAAACAGGAUUAGAUACCCUGGUAGUCCACGCCCUAAACGAUGUCAACUGGUUGUUGGGUCUUCACUGACUCAGUAACGAAGCUAACGCGUGAAGUUGACCGCCUGGGGAGUACGGCCGCAAGGUUG
rnacentral:rRNA from 1 species